GGGGACGUAAAGGUUUCGACGGGGAUUGUGAGUCAUGGUAAGCGAGUAGCGGCGCGGACCCGCUUUAAAAGCCGCACUUUAAAGAAUAAACGACAACAAAACUGUUGCGUUAGCGGCCUAAUUAGGCUGCUCGUCUCUACCUGCAGGACCGCGGGCGGGAUAGAGGCGUCGAUGAGCGGUGAACGUGAACGGCGGUGUGCCACCAUCGCCGUCAUGACGCAGUGGCUACCGUAGCCGGAAGCCUGCCAAUCGGCGUCCGGCGAGGGGAAUCCUAAACGAUCGGCUGUACUCGGAGAAAGCCAUGGCAAGUGAUUUUCGGACAGGGGUUCGACUCCCCUCGUCUCCACCA
rnacentral:tmRNA from 1 species